rnacentral:snRNA from 1 species
GUUCUUGCUUCGGCAGAACAUAUACUAAAAUUGGAACGAUACAGAGAAGAUUAGCAUGGCCCCUGCGCAAGGAUGACACGCAUGUGUUAAAGUUAUGAGGAAAAAAAGUUAAU